UGCAAGUCGAACGAUGAAGCCCAGCUUGCUGGGUGGAUUAGUGGCGAACGGGUGAGUAACACGUGAGUAACCUGCCCCCGACUCUGGGAUAAGCCCGGGAAACUGGGUCUAAUACCGGAUAUUACCUUUGACCGCAUGGUUGUUGGUGGAAAGAUUUAUCGGUGGGGGAUGGACUCGCGGCCUAUCAGCUUGUUGGUGAGGUAAUGGCUCACCAAGGCGACGACGGGUAGCCGGCCUGAGAGGGUGACCGGCCACACUGGGACUGAGACACGGCCCAGACUCCUACGGGAGGCAGCAGUGGGGAAUAUUGCACAAUGGGCGCAAGCCUGAUGCAGCGACGCCGCGUGAGGGAUGACGGCCUUCGGGUUGUAAACCUCUUUCAGUAGGGAAGAAGCGAAAGUGACGGUACCUGCAGAAGAAGCGCCGGCUAACUACGUGCCAGCAGCCGCGGUAAUACGUAGGGCGCAAGCGUUAUCCGGAUUUAUUGGGCGUAAAGAGCUCGUAGGCGGUUUGUCGCGUCUGCCGUGAAAGUCCGAGGCUCAACCUCGGAUCUGCGGUGGGUACGGGCAGACUAGAGUGAUGUAGGGGAGACUGGAAUUCCUGGUGUAGCGGUGAAAUGCGCAGAUAUCAGGAGGAACACCGAUGGCGAAGGCAGGUCUCUGGGCAUUUACUGACGCUGAGGAGCGAAAGCAUGGGGAGCGAACAGGAUUAGAUACCCUGGUAGUCCAUGCCGUAAACGUUGGGCACUAGGUGUGGGGGACAUUCCACGUUUUCCGCGCCGUAGCUAACGCAUUAAGUGCCCCGCCUGGGGAGUACGGCCGCAAGGCUAAAACUCAAAGGAAUUGACGGGGGCCCGCACAAGCGGCGGAGCAUGCGGAUUAAUUCGAUGCAACGCGAAGAACCUUACCAAGGCUUGACAUGUGCCAGACCGCUCCAGAGAUGGGGUUUCCCUUCGGGGCUGGUUCACAGGUGGUGCAUGGUUGUCGUCAGCUCGUGUCGUGAGAUGUUGGGGUUAAGUCCCGCACGAGCGCAACCCUCGUCCAUGUGCCAGCACGUAGUGGUGGGGACCUCAUGGGAGACUGCGGUCAACUCGAGAGGUGGGGAUGACGUCAAUUCAUCAUGCCCUUAUGUCUUGGGCUCACGCAUGCUACAUGGCCGUACAAUGGUUUGCCGAUAUCG
rnacentral:rRNA from 1 species